rnacentral:rRNA from 1 species
AUUGAACGCUGGCGGCAUGCUUUACACAUGCAAGUCGAACGGUAACAGGCCUUCGGGUGCUGACGAGUGGCGAACGGGUGAGUAAUGCAUCGGAACGUGCCCAGAGGUGGGGGAUAACGCAGCGAAAGCUGUGCUAAUACCGCAUGUGAUCUGAGGCUGAAAGCGGGGGACCAAGCAGCAAUGUUUGGCCUCGCGCCUCUGGAGCGGCCGAUGUCAGAUUAGGUAGUUGGUGGGGUAAAGGCCUACCAAGCCGACGAUCUGUAGCUGGUCUGAGAGGACGACCAGCCACACUGGGACUGAGACACGGCCCAGACUCCUACGGGAGGCAGCAGUGGGGAAUUUUGGACAAUGGGCGCAAGCCUGAUCCAGCAAUGCCGCGGGCGGGAAGAAGGCCUUCGGGUUGUAAACCGCUUUUGUACGGAACGAAAAGGCUCUGGCUAAUACCUGGGGCUGAUGACGGUACCGUAAGAAUAAGCACCGGCUAACUACGUG